CUGAGUUUGUGCUCUAGCGGGUGGGGAGCGUGUUCCCUGUAGGAGCGGGACUGAGCGCAGGGCUGGAUGUGGCCGGUUCUACAGUCAUUAAGAUGUCGCUCCGACUCAUAGAAAGCUUUCUGCGGCAACUUGCUGAGACCGGAGAGUUUUUUCUAUGGGCAGUGUUUGUCUCUGCAGGUUUAGAGUUGAAUCUCAUAGAUAAUUCCAGUAGCGCCGAUGUCCAAGUGAAGCGCUGUGGACCGUAAAUAAGGUGCAGUCGGAUCGACUGCAGGGAAAUUCUCAUCGUAAUGCCUGCUGAGCUGAGAGAUAUGGGGGUGCAGAGUACAGGGGAACAGCACAGGGCUGCAGGGAAAUUCUCAUAGUAAUGCCUGCUGAGCUGAGAGAUAUGGGGGUGCAGAGUACAGAGGAACAGCUCAGGGCUGCAGAAGAGACCAAAGUAGCGGGGUGGGGUGUAUUAGUGGACAGGGCUAGAAUGAAGAACAGACAGAAUGGAAGGAAAGGUUGGCGGUGAAGGUCUGACUAAUGGAGGAAGAUAUAAGGCGUGAGAAGAUGGGGGUGCAAAACAAAAAAAGGUUGAUUGGAAGGAGGUUGAAGUUCAUCCAUUGGGCUAUUUGUUUUUUUUAUGUGGCUGAGCUCUGGGUCCUAAAGUGCAACUACUUCCAUCAUCACCACAUGAUUGAUAGCAGCCUUAGCCAAUGGGACCGUAAAUGUUUGGAUGCAUCUAAAAGCUGACAUAAAUGCUUGAUAAAGGCCAAAGUAAGACACAGCAUCAUGAAGUGUAAGCGCCUGAAGAUGUAUGCAUUUGUUUGGAUGAAUGUCUGAGAAGUAAAAAAGAUACAGGGAGAUACCCCAGAGUGUAAGGAGAGAGAGUUUAAAAACUUGAAUUUAAUGUUCCAUUUAGUAGUGCAAAAGGGAAUAGCCCACAUGGUUGGCAGCUGUCUUUUAUUUACUGGUACAAUCUCCUUGUUUCUUUUUAGAUUAUCUUAUGGUAUUUUCCAGAAAAUGUUCUGUUUUCUGAACAAUGCAGCCCUAUGUAUGGGCUAAUAGUAUCCUCUGUCACUGCGCAUGCAGGGUUAGUUUAGAUAACAAAAUGCACACCAGAGUUUUAUCACUGAAAUUCUCCCUUGGUGUAAGGAGACAGGCAAAUGCCAUUCAUGUCAGUUACAACACACAUUGGGUAAUAUCUGUGUUUUCUUUGCUGACUGUUUUCCUCCGCUAGUGAACACAUGCAUAGUGUGCAUUAGCCUAUGGUAUGUAUGUUUCCUCCCUUUAUUGCACGCUUUUAUUAUAUUUAAUAUUUGAAUUUUUGAAUUUUUUUGUCUAUGUAAAGUUGGGAGGAACACAGGUCAAAAAAAUUUCAUUACGGUAAUGAUGCUUCAUUGUUAUUUGUAUAUGACAAUAAAACUUGAAACUCCCUACUAUUUCUUAGAUUUGGGGAUCUGUUUAUAUGCCAUUAUUGUAUGUUGACCCAUAUUUCAUUAACUGCCUGAAUUUUACCUUUGGUUCAUGUUGAUAUAUAUAUAUGAAUAUGUUGUUGCACUGAGCAGCAGACAGCACUCACAGAUGUUGCUUAAUAAAUGUUUUUAAAGACUA